GAAGGCAGAGGCUUUAACCCACUGAGCCACCCAGGCGUCCCAGCACACGUGUUUUCUGACCGAGCCUUUCCUAAUGCAGCCUGUGAAGAGGGUGUGACCAGCACUGCUUGGCAUUCUGGGAUCCAGUAAGUGCCCAGCCCAGCCCUGGGGACUGAGGAAGGAACAGGACAGCCUCCCCACCUCUGAGGGACCUCAGGCUAACAAUGAAGCAGCACAGAGCAGCCCUCUGCCGGCAAGUCCUGGGUCAGCCCUGCUGAGGUGCCCACGCAGCAGUUCAAGGGAUGGCCACUGCCCUCUACGCUGGACCCCAAGCCCUGCUCUCCAAGCAGGGUCCAGGCUUUACCCCUUGGGGCAAACAGAACUUGGCCCUGAAAUCUCUGUGCCCAACCUCAAGACAGGUGCCAGGGAAAGGUCCAGUCCCAUCAACGACGGACGGAGGGAGCCAGAAACCUGUGUGCGCCCAGCAAGGACCAGUGGUAGAUGCCGCAGCCCAUGCACAGAGGGUGGGGAUGGGCAGACAGGCACAUGGUCCCAGAUACCUUUGUAUAAAUUACUCAUGAAAGCAUUAGUGGCUGGGGCGCCUGGUGACU